rnacentral:misc_RNA from 1 species
ACACACACACACACACACACACACACACACUUUCUUGCCUUCAUUCCCCAUCGGAACAUCAAAAUGAAGACACCUCCCUCCUCCUCCUCCUCCUCUUCCUCUUUCUCCUCCUCUUCCUUCUUCCUUCCCCUCUUCCUCUUCAUCCUAUUUAGACAAGGACACGCAGAGGAGGACCUACCAUGCAUACCCAAGGAGACGGGCCACAGUUCCUUUGUGUGUGUGUGCAACGCUACCUACUGCGACACACUCCACCGCCCCACAACACCGCCAGAGGGCCAGUACCUUCUCUAUACCUCGGCAAGGGACGGAGGGAGGUUUCAGAAGAGCUUGGGUUACUUCGCUGGUAGAGAAGUGGUGGAAGGCAGUAUUGAGUUCACCCUGGACACAAACACGCCCUACCAGACAAUGAUGGGCUGGGGCGCCGCCUUCACCGACUCCGCUGCCUUCAACAUCCUCAGCCUCUCCCCAGCCAGCCAGGACCAGCUGCUGCGGGCAUAUUUCUCCCCCGAGGGCCUGGAGUACAACCUGGGGCGGCUUAACAUGGGGGGCUGUGAUUUCUCGUGGCGCACCUACACCCACGUGGACACACCUGGGGACACUAACCUCGACACCUUCGCCCUGCAACCUGAGGACCUGGAGUAUAAGAUCCCAGUGGUGAAGAGAGCGCAAGAGAUGUCGGAACGCCCUAUUAAAUUAUUCGCCUCUCCCUGGACGGCUCCUCCUUGGAUGAAGACUAACAAUGACUAUCACGGCUUCGGCCAGCUCAAGGAGGAGAUGUACCAGCCCUGGGCACGCUACUUCGUCAGGUUUUUGGAUGACUACGCUGCGCAGAACAUCACUUUCUGGGGCCUCACUGCGCAGAACGAGCCGCUGGAUGGGUACGUCCCAGGCUUUUCGUUCAGCUGCAUGGGGUGGACGGCGGAACAGCAACGGAAGUGGGUGUCGGGGAACCUUGGGCCGGCGCUGCGGGAGGGCGGGUACGGCGAUGUGGUGCUGAUGAUUAUGGACGACCAGCGCAUCAACCUUCCCUCCUGGCCCCAAGUGGUACUGGGCGACCCUGAGGCGGCUCAGUUUGUGCAGGGGAUCGCCUUACAUUGGUACAUGGACAAGUACUUCACGCCGGAGGUACUGACUGAGACCCACGACUUGUUCCCUGAGUACUUCAUCCUUGGUACUGAGGCUUGUGAGGGAGAUGGCCCGCUGGAGGUAGACGUGGUGCCGGGGUCCUGGGAGCGUCUGGAGGCAUAUGCUCGCGAUAUUAUUGUGGACGUGAAUCACUGGGUGACUGGCUGGGUGGACUGGAACCUCGCCCUGGACAUGAUAGGCGGACCAAACUGGGCUGAGAAUUUCGUGGAUGCUCCGAUACUUGUGGAUAAGGAUAAGGACGAGUUUUACAAGAAUCCCAUGUUCUACGCAAUGGGACACUUCUCUAAAUUCGUACCAGAGGGCGCUGUCAGGUUGGGCAUCACCUCCCCACACGCAGGCAAAGUGAGCGCUGCCGCCUUCAGGAACCCGGAUGGCACCUAUGCUCUCAUUCUCCUCAACAGGUCUGAUUUGGAAGAGAUGGUCACAGUACAAGUUAGUGGGAGAGGAACGCUUGCUCUCCCACUCUUCCCCCACUCCCUCCACACCGCCCUCUUCCAGUGAGAGAGAGAGAGAGAGAGAGAGAGAGAGAGAGAGAGAGAGAGAGAGAGAGAGAGAGAGAGAGAGAGAGAGAGAGAGAGAGAGAGAGAGAGAGAGAGAGAGAGAGAGAGAGAGAGAGAGAGAGA